GUAGAGCUGACACCAGAGGGCAAUAUGUUUGACCUACUGGCAACAGGCAGGUAAGUGUUGCAAUUGUGGGACUGUACCAGUUGGUGGCGGUAAUGCAGCAAAAGGUUGUUUGCUAACCGCCAAAAAAAAAAAAAGACUCAAAAGAAGACUAAUCGAAGUGGAGUUCAUGGCUGCCGCUGGUAAAGCUAAACGCAAGUUACGUGAUGAACACAGGACAUUUCAACAGUCAUGGGAGGAAGAAUUUGCUUUUGUGGAGGUAAAUAACAAGCCUAACAGUGUGCCUUCUUUGCCAGAAACAGUCCAUUCCAAAACGAACGAAUCUCCAGCGCCACCACGACAGCUGUCACAAAGACUUCAAAGCUGACUUUCCACCAGGUAGUAAUAUAAGAAAAGACAGAAUAUGCAGUCUCAUUGGAAAUCUUCGUGGUCAACAAACUGUUUUGAGAUUCAGCUGUAAAGAAAGUGACAGAAUCACGGAGGCAUCAUUCAAAGUAGCGUGGAAUGUAUCAAGGAGUCGGCGGCCUUUCACUGAGGGACAGCUGAUUUAAAAAAAAAAGUGUUUUCUGGACUGCAGUGAGUCCCUUUUUGCCGAGUUUAAAAAAGCUGAGAUCACCAGACAGAUAUCCAAACUGCAGCUUUCAGAUUCAACUCUCAGCAGACGUGUGGAAGACAUUUCUGAUCAUUUGUUCAUAAAAUUGAUCGACGAUCUUCAGAAAACGCAGCUCUUCAGCCUGGCCAUAGACGAGUCCACUGAUGUGUCGGAUACAGCGCAACUUAUGAUAUGGGCUCGGUUUUUUAAUGGUGACACAUUCAUGGAGGAAAUGUUUGCUCUUUUGCCACUGACUGGCCAAACAAGAGGAGAGGACGUUUGUUUGGCACUCACUGACUUUUCCCAGGGACCAGGGAGAGAGAUUGAUUUGGGGAAAUCGGUGUCAGUUACCACCGAUGGUGCACCGUCGAUGGUUGGAAAAGAAAGAGGACUUGUUGCAUUAUUGAGAAAAGAAGACGCAUUUCCAGACUUUUUUUUUUUUUUGCCUACCAUUGUAUUCUUCACCAAGAACAGCUCUGCUGCAAACUCACAGGUGGUGAACUGAAAACAACGAUGGGUAAGGUGGUGAAAGUUGUUAACUACAUUAGAGGCCAUGCUCUUAAGCACAGACAGUUCCGCACCUUAGUAGAAGAAUAUGACACACUCAAUAUGAAGACCUGACGCUGCACGCCGCAGUGCGAUGGAUGAGCAGAAGCAUUGUACUGGAGAAGUUUGUGGAUUUACUGCUGGUGAUUCGAGCCUUCAUUGCGCAGAGAAAGCAUGUCGAUCUGUAUUAUGUCAACGAUGAGAAGUUUGCACUGGAAGCGGCUUUUCUGGUUGACACAACCAAGCACCUGAACUCCCUAAAUUUGAAGCUCCAGGGAAACAACAAAUUGCUGCCUGCCUUGGUGAAUGAUGUUUCUGCUUUCAUGGAGAAGCUCUGUCUUUAUCAAGACCAGCUCUUCAGUUUUCUGUACCAGCUGACUUGCCAAGGUGCUCCUGUCAGGGACGACUUCCCGGAGCUCCGCCUCCAGCUGGUCCUGCUCCUCUUGAAGCAUGGCCCUGAGCCGAUUCCUGCGCUGCUCCAGGCUGGCCUUCUUCUCUUCCUUCAGUCUCUGUUUAUGAGAAUGGUGUAGUGUGAAAUCGUUUGUAUGAGGCUACCUCUGCUGGUAGGAGUGACGGGAGCUCCACGCCGCCUGUCUCUGGCUGCGGACACUCUGCUCUCUGAAGUACCGAGCAUGCAGCUCCCACUGCUGCCGCCACCGGGCCUCCUGCUCCCGCUGCCGGGCCAGCUGCUCCGCCAGGACUCGGGACCGGCUGGGUACAUUGGCCGAGAAUGUCGGUAGAGCCAUGGACCUGAGUCACAGUUAAUAAAUAAAACAUUCGUAGAAAUUACCUCAAACUAAUCCUACCUCACAUUUCUUGCUUUUUUUAAAAAAGCUGGUUAGUUAUUGGUCCAACAUAAUGCUGCCUUAGCUAAACAGUUUGUGGUAACUGGACGGUGAAGGAUCUCAUGCACACAAAACAGCAAGUAGUCGGUUACAUUUAUAUCACUGCUAAUGUCUUGUAUGUUUUGGUUAUGAAACGUUUCUCAUUUAAGGUCAAGAAAAAGAAAAAAUUAAACAGUACGAACAAAGCGUUUACAGCUCUCACUACCAGCAACACUUCAGCAGUUAAAGACCUCGCAGCUCCACAAACACCUCUUUGACCUCUUGUUGCUGAGGCAGACUGUCUCCCCCUGAUGAUUAGUAAAAUCAUUCUGCAGAGCUCACCUUUUUCAAAAUCCUUACAGACUCCUUUGUCACGUCUCUGCCUGUAUUCAAUCUCCAGCUUUCCUUAGUAACCGAUCCACUUCCUAGUUACUCCCACGCUACGGGAUGAAAUAAAGGUCAAAAUUACUAGCUGGGUGAAAACGCGAAACGUAUUUCCUCCUGGUCUUUUUAUUUGCCACACAAACCCUAUUUAUUAUUUUGACCAAUAAUGGUGUCUGGUUGCUGAUAUAGGUCGUUCACCUGUAAACUUCAAGGAAAAUGUUUUCCAGGGAAUACAGCAGUAUUGAGUAUUUAUUGAUGAUAUAUCUAGGCAUUGAUUUGUGGUGCAUUUUCUCUCUCAGCUCUUUGACUACAAGUCGUUGCAAUACCAUCAGCAUUAUCAACCAAAUACUAAUGAUGCUAAUACUGAUGAUGGUGAUGAUUAUGUGUGUCUGUGUGAUCUUAUUGUGAUGCAAUAAGAGGCCACUAAGGGAGAGUAAACAGCUUCCCUCCAGAAUAAGAUAAACUUUAUGAACAUUUUGAUGUUGGUCUGGCUUUAACUCCAAUAUAAUUGUUAGAUAACACAUAAAAAAAAUACAGAAAAUAUUUUGGAUUAUGUUUUAUGCUUAUAACGUUAUGACCCUACAAACAUGUACACAAUACAAAGGUUUGUCUUUAUUUUUAAAUUGCACACCUGUUUGUUGCUCUGACUGCAACAUAGAGUCUAUCUAUCUAACACAUAUGCAACUAUUUUUGAUUUUUUUUUAAUGGUUUGAUUAUUGCUGUAAGUAGUUUGGAACACACAAAUUUGACUUUGUUAUCAUUGACAUUUAAUUUCGCCAUAUGUAAUUAGACGAUGGUGUGCAUAAUUUAUCAGAAAUCUAACAUUAACAAUGCUACAUAUCCAGAAUCACUGAUUUCCAUCAGGUGCUUCUUUUUCCCAAUCAGAGGGAUAUUUUCCUCAAAAUUUCUUAGUCUUGCACAUUCCUGUAUUACAAGUUUUUAGAUAAUCAAAAACCCUCCACAUGACUCUCAUGUAAACAGAAAAAAAUGUGUAUUCUUAAAAAAAAAAACACAAUUUAUUUUUAAUAGCAAAAUAUUACAUCACUAUACCUCGAAACCACUUUUUCAUAUUUUUCCAGACCAUUAAAAUGAUUCCCAUUUCUUUUUAAGGAUUACCAAGGCCACUAUCAACAAAGAAAGACCUGUAAUGUAAACUGACUAUAUCUAGUGGUCAAGUCAAGGUCUAGCCUUUGCGCUUUCCAGUAGAAAAAUAAACUUUCAGUUACAAAUUAACCAAGUUAAAUACUGAAGACCCUACAGUGUUAUUCAUGAUGUGGAUUUACCUGAAUAAUUGAAAUAUUUAGGAUUCAAACCCUAAAGAAGUUAAAUAAAAUACAACUUUACCUGAUUAUAAUACACAAUAAAUACCCUAUGAUGCUUUUUAUUAUAGAUUACUGAAAUAAUGUAAAUAUUUAGAAUAAGACCAUACAUUGUUAUUAAUUAUGGAGGUAACUGAUUAAUCUAAAACUAAAGUUAUGACCGUACUAACACAUACACUCAAAUUCAGCAAAUCCAAGGAGUCCCUGGAAUUUCUAUGAGCAUACUUUGUUGUUAUUUCAGACUUUAUCUAAAAUAUAAAAUAAUAAAAGUAACAAAUUUAGUAGGCAAUUAACUCAUACUACAGCUUUUAUGAUAUUAAAACUAAAUAUGAAAAUCUUGAAAAGGGGAACCAGGUCAUGGAGGAAGGUCGGUGUACGGAUCUGGUAAUUGGAUUUUCCGUUCUGAAACGGGUAUUGGAAACAAAAAACGAGUGGUUAUUUUAUUUUCGUUUUAAAAUACAAAAAUUAAAAUUGAAAUACAUGGCGUUUUUCCUUUUCAUGAUCAAAAAGGGAUAUACGAUUUUUUUAAUGCUUGUUUUUCCUUUUAUAUUUAGAAUAACAAGAAAGUAAAAUCAGUAAGAGACAGAAACGAAAAAAGGUCCGCUUUUUCAUUUUCUGAGACCGGAAGUGGUCAUCAGGAAGUGUGGAGCCAAACAAAGUACGGUGCAUAGACUGUAUAUACAUUUUUUCCCGUUAGUUUUCAUGGUCAAAAUGAGAGAUCAGGUGGCCGAUCCAAAAAUAAAUCAAUAUUGAAUUUUAUAUAGAGCGUUAAAGUUUUGCAAAGCCAGGGGGCGGGGCUACUUGAUUGACAGUCUGGUCUGGAAUGAUUGACAGGUCCUAUGGAGGAGGCAGCCGAGACUCUGCGCUCCUCGUUUGGAUUAAUUCUGAUAUAAUAACUGUUGGUUUAUUUAUCGAUGCAGCAGCAGAACAUUUUCUGCAAACAGUUUUCCUGCCCGUUGGCUUGUUUUAACCAGUUUUCUGCCUUCGGUUGAUUCUACCAGCAGACACUGAAAGGACUCUGAUAGUUCGGUAAGUAAAUGUUUAUUUUCGUAUCGGUGCCGCUUUUAAUGCACUUUAUAUGCAGCUUUAGUGUCAGAUAUAAUGUGUGCCAUGCACUCCAGAUGUUGAUGGAGUUUGUUUCAAUGUGUGUUGACCAGAGAAGAAAGUUAGCAUAGUAAAUAUUAGCUUUAAUGUUAGCGAUGCUAACUGAGCUAGCUGCUCAGUCGUAGCCUGAUUAAAGCUAACGUAGCAUCAAGUUAAUGUGUUGAGUUUCAUGUAAACGGCUGAAGUGUGUUGUGUUACUGUGAUGUGGUUCAUUAAGUUCAUAAAAUUGUGGCUGGUUGACAUUAAUGUAACGUUCAGGAAACUUAAAUGUGAUUAAAACAGUAAUGUUAAUGUUCUAGUUGUCAGUAAUCAGCUUUAAUUUGACACUAAAACAGACUGAUAGUUUUAAAUGACAUCAGUUUCAUGAAUUUGUUGAAAAUUGUCUCAUUUGUUGUUGUGAUACUGCUGCUGAUUCAUUAAAAGCAGAUGAUCCGUGUUGAAGACACGUUUAGUUCUAGUAUCAGAAGUACAAGAAGGAAAAUGGAAGUUUAGUUCUGCUACGUCAAAGAUUUCAGGAAUAAAAUAACUAAAUGAGUCUUUAUGCCUCAAACUUUAUUUUACAAUAAAGAAAUAAUGAAAUAAUCACAGAUAAUAAAAAUAUAAAUAGCAGAGAAAACCGGAGAGAAUAAUUUCCUGAAAAGUCUGUGAAGGACAAGCAGCUUUUUAUCCUGAAAGAUCAGAAUCAGCUCCAACAUCUGCAUCUAACAGCAUCAAGUCGACCAGAAAAGAAAAAAGAAAAUGAUUCCUUUCUGAUCACAUCUGUUCUGCUGCUCACAGUCUGCUGCUGCUCACAUUCUUCACAUUUAUAGUCCACUUUUAAAAGUUCAGCAGACAGGUGCUCUGCUUUGGAGUGUGACGAUGUCGUCGGUGAUGUGGAGAGUGACGUUUCCGUUUCACCCACAGUGUGCUUUAGGGCAGCCGGGUCGAACUUGAUGUUUGAAAUACUGAUCGACAGCUCAGAUUUAACUGUCUGUAGUUCCUUUUUGAUGGAUGUUAAACUUUCAUUCAAAGCCGCUAGGAGCUGGGUCUUUAAAAUAACUGCCGUCUCGUUACAGAGUGAAAGUAGCAGUUCCUCCUUAAGGUCAGAGAUUGCAGCAUCUGAGGGCCUCUUCAAAAGAAGACGUAGUUGAUGAAGGCGUUCUGGAGCAGGACCAGAAAGACCACGACCAAGCAGCCUUGAGAUCUUUGGCAGCGUCUCCCUCAGGUCCCUCUCUAUCUCCCCACACAUCCACCAACCACUGGAACACAUCUCCAAAGUUCUGCCAGGCCAGCUCAGCUUCCCCUCAGAAGAAGUGCAACCACCUACCAGAUGAAGGAGCCUUUUGAGAGGCAGCUGGCAUCGUGAUUGGACUGUACUUUGGUCUGUUCCAAUCCAGCUUCAGUUCCAGAGACGGCAGGCGGGACGAGUCAACGGAGGCCGGGUGGACGAAGGCAUGCAGCUGAGUACAAUCCAGAAAACAACAGAGAGUGCAGCGGCCCAGGGCCGCAACAGAGUAGCAUCGUAUGUCUCUUAGAAAACAUCAUAGUAUAGCCUUUGGUAUGAAAAAACACCAUCAUAUACAUCGUAUAUUGUACAAAUAACAAGUCAAAGGAAAGAGACAUACAUUGUAGAAUUGUAGUAAUUGUGGGCUGACUGAUUUACUGAUUAUCAGUAUUUUAUUUUUUACUGAUUUACUGUAAUAAAUACAUUUUAAAAUGGC